rnacentral:tRNA from 1 species
GGAGAGGUGCUCGAGUGGUUGAAGAGGCACGCCUGGAAAGCGUGUAUUCCUCUAAAGGGAAUCAGGGGUUCGAAUCCCCUUCUCUCCG